rnacentral:tRNA from 5 species
GUCUCGGUAGCUCAGUUGGUAGAGCAAUUGACUCUUAAUCAAUGGGUCGAGGGUUCGAGCCCCUCCCGGGAUA